CUAGAUUAAUGUAAUACCUUCUAAACAGUCUCUUAAUCUUUUAAUAUCUUCCUUAUUCUAUUCAAUCCUGUGUUCUGCCAACCAAUUACUAUUCCUCAAAAACCACUUUGUUUAAUCUCUCUGAAUUCCGACUGCCUACAUAGUAAGAUUCUAAUUCUUUGGUUUAGCUUUCAAGAUUCUAUUCAAUCCAACUUUAACCUACCUUUUUUGUUCCAUUCCUCUCCCCUCCCCAUCCACUCUAGUUAGAGGGAUGUGGACUAGAAUGGGAAUAAGGACGCAGACUCCAGAGCAGACUGCCUGCAUGAACUCCAGGUCCCCACCAGCCAGUUCUAAACUAAAAGUUCAGAUAUUCUGAACCAUGGAACAAACAUGAUGUGGCCUGCUGAAGUAGAAAUGUGGACUUUUGGGAUGUGAGACCGAAAUCACUCAUAGAUAAGGGUCCUUCCUAAAUCUACAGAGUGGGCAACAAACCUAAUUCACUUGUUAAAAUAAUCAUUGAGAUGGAAAUUGCAAACGUUCUGACUCUGGAGAGACAGAGGGUGACUGGCAGGCAAAGGAGAAAUCUCAGGCUUCAGUAAUGAGAAUUUUUCAUGAGUCGCCUAAUCAAGCUCAUGAGACCUGGAGAGUCUAUGAGGAAAGGGUUCAGUGAUAGAGAAAGCCGGAGAUGAUGAGGCUGGGAGAGUAAGCUUCUCUUACCAUUGUUCUCUAUUCUCCCUACUCCCAUAUUCUUCCAGUGGGACAAAGUGCCCCAAAGUAUAAGUCAGUGUGUCCCAAGGGGUCUGGAGUUUAGGUACCUGAACAUGGAAGAGGGCCUUGCUAAACUGGUUUGACCUUUCUCUCAUCCCCAGCAAAGUUCUGAAUGCGGGUUCUGACUCUGAGCUGAAGGCAUACUUCAUGAAGUUUCCUGCUGCCCUUUCACUACACAGCUGGACUUGGAGGCAAACUUGGAGAUAAAAAUAUAGUUCCCGUGCUAUCCCUUAUAAAGAUUUAAGAGAAAG
rnacentral:lncRNA from 1 species